GACGAACGCUGGCGGCAUGCCUAACACAUGCAAGUCGAACGGAGAUUAUUUCGGUAAUCUUAGUGGCGAACGGGUGAGUAACGCGUGGGCAACCUGCCCUCUAGAUGGGGACAACAUCCCGAAAGGGGUGCUAAUACCGAAUGUGACAGCAAUCUCGCAUGAGGAUGCUGUGAAAGAUGGCCUCUAUUUAUAAGCUAUCGCUAGAGGAUGGGCCUGCGUCUGAUUAGCUAGUUGGUGGGGUAACGGCCUACCAAGGCGAUGAUCAGUAGCCGGUCUGAGAGGAUGAACGGCCACAUUGGGACUGAGACACGGCCCAGAAUCCUACGGGAGGCAGCAGUGGGGAAUCUUCCGCAAUGGGCGAAAGCCUGACGGAGCAAUGCCGCGUGAGUGAUGAAGGAAUUCGUUCCGUAAAGCUCUUUUGUUUAUGACGAAUGUGCAGAUUGUGAACAAUGAUCUGUAAUGACGGUAGUAAACGGAUAAGCCACGGCUAACUACGUG
rnacentral:rRNA from 1 species